rnacentral:lncRNA from 1 species
UUGAAAUUCGAAUUAUUGAUAUGCGUCUAAGCUAUUUGAUUCAGCUAGACAAAUGUUUAUGAAAUUCAAAGUAUUCUUUGAAAGCUUAUGCCAAACCAAAUUGUUUUGGUGCGGAAUCUUAUGAUAAGUCUGAGGUGAACAACCCUGAAAAUGGGGAUAUACUAAUUGGAUAAAAUAUUCCAAUCUAAGGACGCAUAUAGUCGUUCAGAUUACUAAGGUACAAUAGACUGAUCAUCUAAAGUACCAGCAUCGGUAGUUUACCUUCUUCGUGAUUGUAAACAUACCUAUUAAAGAAAUGUUUCAGAGGUAGAGUACCUUUCUUUCGUAAUUGAAAGAGGUAGCAGGUAG